UUAGUGGCGGACGGGUGAGUAACGCGUGGGUAACCUGCCUUGUACUGGGGGACAACAGUUGGAAACGACUGCUAAUACCGCAUAAGCGCACAGCUUCGCAUGAAGCAGUGUGAAAAACUCCGGUGGUACAAGAUGGACCCGCGUCUGAUUAGCUGGUUGGUGAGGUAACGGCCCACCAAGGCGACGAUCAGUAGCCGGCCUGAGAGGGUGAACGGCCACAUUGGGACUGAGACACGGCCCAAACUCCUACGGGAGGCAGCAGUGGGGAAUAUUGCACAAUGGGGGAAACCCUGAUGCAGCAACGCCGCGUGAGUGAAGAAGUAUUUCGGUAUGUAAAGCUCUAUCAGCAGGAAAGAAAAUGACGGUACCUGACUAAGAAGCCCCGGCUAACUACGUGCCAGCAGCCGCGGUAAUACGUAGGGGGCAAGCGUUAUCCGGAUUUACUGGGUGUAAAGGGAGCGUAGACGGUUUUGCAAGUCUGAAGUGAAAGCCCGGGGCUUAACCCCGGGACUGCUUUGGAAACUGUAGAACUAGAGUGCAGGAGAGGUAAGUGGAAUUCCUAGUGUAGCGGUGAAAUGCGUAGAUAUUAGGAGGAACACCAGUGGCGAAGGCGGCUUACUGGACUGUAACUGACGUUG
rnacentral:rRNA from 1 species